GGGAAAGGUAUUACCUGAGUACUGCAGUGAAUUAACUUAAGUUCGAAGGAUGAGAAGCCUGAAAGAACUCAAUGGAUGGAUAAUGCAAGGAGUAAAAAAUAAACCAAAAAAAAAAAAAAUGAAUGCAAAUCAUACUAAAAAGAAAAAUCUAAAACUAAUAUACAGAAAAAUAAAGUGAAGGAUGAACCUGAGUGAAGCUAAGGGUGGUAAACAGGGUCUGCAAGGGGAAUUUCUUCCACUGCAGGCACCGAUUGCCCAAAAGCUAUUUUGAGACGCUGUCCAUUCACUUUGAACACUCUACCAUCAUUAGGAUCCUCAAUUUCAACCGCUCCAUUUUCAAAGACUC
rnacentral:lncRNA from 1 species